rnacentral:tRNA from 1 species
GCGGCCGUUGCUGAAUGGUAUAAGCGCGACACUUAGGAUGUCGUGGGAGAAAUCCCAUGUGGGUUCGAGUCCCACCGGCCGCA